rnacentral:rRNA from 1 species
AACGAACGCUGGCGGCAUGCCUAACACAUGCAAGUCGAACGAUCCCUUCGGGGAUAGUGGCGCACGGGUGCGUAACGCGUGGGAACCUGCCCUUAGGUUCGGAAUAACUCAGAGAAAUUUGAGCUAAUACCGGAUAAUGUCUUCGGACCAAAGAUUUAUCGCCUUUGGAUGGGCCCGCGUUGGAUUAGCUAGUUGGCGGGGUAAAGGCCUACCAAGGCGACGAUCCAUAGCUGGUCUGAGAGGAUGAUCAGCCACACUGGGACUGAGACACGGCCCAGACUCCUACGGGAGGCAGCAGUGGGGAAUAUUGGACAAUGGGCGAAAGCCUGAUCCAGCAAUGCCGCGUGAGUGAUGAAGGCCUUAGGGUUGUAAAGCUCUUUUACCCGGGAUGAUAAUGACAGUACCGGGAGAAUAAGCCCCGGCUAACUCCGU